CAGUGAUGGAGCCGGUUAUCCUGGGUAUUUUAUCUGUGGAGGUAAUCUGCCCGACAGGGAUGGAGCCGGUUAUCCAGUGUAUUAUAUCUGUAGAGGUAAACUAUGCGACAGUGAUGGAGCCUGUUAUCCUGGGUAUUACAUAUAUGUUGAAGUAAACUGUCAGACAGGGAUGGAGCCGGUUAUAUAGGGUAUUAUGUCUGUGGAGGUUAUCUGCCCGAUAGUGAUGGAGCCGGUUAUCCUGGGUAUUAUGUCUGUGGAGGUAAUCUGCCCGACAGUGAUGGAGCCGGUUAUCCUGGGUAUUAUAUCUGUGGAGGUAAUCUGCCGGACAGUGAUGGAGCCGGUUAUCCAGGGUGUUAUAUAUCUGUGGAGGUAAUAUGCCCGAUGGUGAUGGAGCCGGUUAUCCAGGGUAUUAUAUAUCUGUGGAGGUAAUAUG